UAAGGAAUAUUGGACAAUGGGCGAGAGCCUGAUCCAGCCAUCCCGCGUGCAGGAAGACUGCCCUAUGGGUUGUAAACUGCUUUUAUAAGGGAAGAACGGCUACGAUUUAUCGUGGUAUGACGGUACCUUAUGAAUAAGCACCGGCUAACUCCGUGCCAGCAGCCGCGGUAAUACGGAGGGUGCAAGCGUUAUCCGGAAUCACUGGGUUUAAAGGGUGCGUAGGCGGUUAUGUAAGUCAGGGGUGAAAGGUCACAGCUUAACUGUGAGAUUGCCUUUGAAACUGUGUAACUUGAAUCAGAUAGAGGUUAGUGGAAUGCGACAUGUAGCGGUGAAAUGCAUAGAUAUGUCGUGGAAUACCGAUUGCGAAGGCAGCUAACUGGGUCUUGAUUGACGCUGAGGC
rnacentral:rRNA from 1 species